rnacentral:misc_RNA from 1 species
GUGAAUCAUCAAAUUUUUGAACGCAAAUUGCACUCUCUUCGGAGAGUAUGCCUGUUUGAGGGUCAGCCUAAAAAAAAAAAAUCUACAUAUUCUCUGUUUCGCGGGUACAUUUUUCGUAAAUUGUGUCAUUUUAUAUCUUUGUUUUUUAUUUGUUUAAAAUUUUUGUUGUCGACGUCGCAAAAUUUUAUA